CCAUCAUCGGCUCCUUCUAUCCGUGUAAGCUCGUGGCAGAGGAACGGCUCUGCCUCAGCCCACCUCAUUUGAGCCAUUGAAUUGUUGCUGACACAUUUUUUCGGGGUGAGGCAUUUCCGACGGCAGUGGUUUGCAUUUGGGAAUGGAGGGAUUUAUGGCCGCCAGCGGCCCAGAGCUCCGGGCAUCGGCGUCGGCAUCCAACGCCGGCUCUUCCUGCACAUCGCAUUAGCCAGACGUUGGCAUCAGUCACUGGAGACGUCGCGGCGGAAGGCAGUGCCCUCAAAAGGCUGGAAAACCGAUUUGCACAUGCGUUUCCAGGGAGUUUAUCAAGAUGUUGUAAUGUUUCCUGCGGCUCCUCACAGUGCUGCCCAUGGUGAUAGAUGCCACCAUGGGAAGGAGGGAGACAAAUCCUGUGGGGAAACGCUGGGAGAAAGAAUCCAGGCUCCACGGAGGCUGCUGCCAGUUCAGGGUGAAGUCCUCAAGUCCAUCUGUUUUACCCAGAGGAGAUUAAGGGACCUGUGAUCGACAUGAGUGUUCCUGGUCGGCCAGCCUGAGCAGCACCUUAGCAAACCUCAGCUUUCCCAUCUGACAUGAAAAAACCACACCACGUGGACUCGAUCUAUCUUAUCCUGCUAAAAAUCCCAGGGAAGUUUUCCCUCAUCUCCUCCAAUGCCAGUCCUUGCUUCCUGGCCUGGGCACUCCAGAUUGUGGCAGUGUUGUAGCCUCAGUUACUGCAUCUCUGUCAUGAUAUUACUGCUCCAUUUGGGUACAGGGGUGACAGCAGAACGAGUCCAAAGGAGAUUAUAUAAAUAAAGAGCAGCAAGGAGGAAUUUCUGCA
rnacentral:lncRNA from 1 species